GCCAUCUUGGUGCGCCAUUUCGGGGUUCACAGGAUGCUCUGGGACUCGGGAUUGCUUUAGAUCCAAGUCUAGGAAACUCAGUCUGUGGCCCGGCACGGGAACCCUUCCUCUUUCCUUCGGCACCGCAGCUCUCCCAUCCCAGCGCCUGCGCGCCUGCUCCAGAGCCUGUUUCUCAAGGUGCGGCCCAGCAGCAGCACCAAGCCCCGAGAGCCUGCGGAAACGCGGACUCCAGGCCUGACCAGGAUUCACCGAAUGAGAAUACGCAUUGACACAGAACCAUCAGAACCCAGAUGGCGUAACUGUGACACCGCAGGCAACUGUUACAGCAAACUCAACAGAGACGGGCAGAACACAGAAGGAGCUGCAGUGAGCCAGGCCCUUGGGGUUCUCAGGAAAAGGAAGAACUGUCAGUCUGAAGAGGACAGUUCACUCCUUCGUGUUGUGUAAGGACCUCAAGAAAGGAGGAAGGCAGAGAAUUCCAG